AGAGUUUGAUCCUGGCUCAGAGCGAACGCUGGCGGCGUGCUUAACACAUGCAAGUCGAGUGCGCGUCUGUAGCAAUACAGAUGGCGCACGGCGCACGGGUGCGUAACACGUGGGUAAUCUGCCCUUCGAUGGGGAAUAACUUCGGGAAACCGAAGCUAAUUCCGCAUGACAUUCCUUGAACUUCGGUUUGGGGACUCAAAGCCGUAAGGCGUCGGAGGAGGAACCCGCGCACGAUUAGCUAGUUGGUAGGGUAACGGCCUACCAAGGCUUUGAUCGUUAGCUGGUCUGAGAGGAUGGCCAGCCACACUGGAACUGAGACACGGUCCAGACUCCUACGGGAGGCAGCAGUGGGGAAUCUUGCACAAUGGGCGAAAGCCUGAUGCAGCGACGCCGCGUGGGGGAUGAAGCUUUUCGGAGUGUAAACCCCUUUCGACCCGGACGAAUGCCCCGCAAGGGGACUGACGGUACGGGUAUAAGAAGCCCCGGCUAACUACGUGCCAGCAGCCGCGGUAAU
rnacentral:rRNA from 1 species